rnacentral:siRNA from 1 species
UUAGAAAUAAAUGGGCUAUCC